UUCAUAGUAUAGGGCCCUGAUCAAAUCAAUGAGUCAGUUCAAUGAAAUGGAGACUCAUCUACCUAUCCUUUAACAUCAUUUCUCAACAAAGUCAUGUGACUGAUCCCAGCAGGCUUUGAACAGCACCAAUAUAAACACCCAGGUAAAGACCCCUCCCCUUUUUUGUUAGCUUGCGUCUUUUCUGCAACCUAUGAAGAAGCUGUUUGUUUUUACUUCCUAAAGGAAUUGUUGCAUUAUUUGUGUAUUCAUUUCUUUCAAGUGCUUAGUUUUUUUGUAUCUGCUGUUGGCCGAGCCCGUAAGUAAGUACUGUCAAAAAUGUCCAUAAAUUAAAGUGAGCAUGUGAUUGAUUACUAUUUGCAGACAUAUUGUUUUUUAGCAGUCUUUCUUUAAUUACCCCCCCUUGAUACAUUUAUGCUCACUCAAUUCUGUUUGUUUGCACUGAUUAACUAAUUGCUAGCAAUUGAAUGCAACAGUUGGGCAUGAUUUGCUUUUUUCCUGUGCACAUGAAAUGCAAUGGAAAAUAAAGUUCUUCAACACUGAUUGUUAAGACAGCAGUUCCUGUUGUGCAGCUGGGGGGAUUGUUUAGCCUAAAUCAGGUGUGGCUAAUUAAAUUUCCCAGUGAGCCGCAUGAGAAACUGGCACUGUUGUGGAGGGCUGUGUAUUGUGUAUAAUUGUUUUGUUUGAUUUUAUUUUUGUUGCUUGAAAUUCUGUGAAACACUUUGAAUGGUACCAGUUAAAUGUAGAUUGCAUUGCUAUUAGAUACCCGAUUAGCCAGUGUAUAUGCUAUAGUAGUAAUACUGAAGGUGUAACAAGACAAACUGAAGGGCUUUAGUUUGACGGCUUGCACUAAAGUGGCUAUAGGAAGUUGUAUAAGGAUGAUUUUAUUCUGCUAGCUGUACUGACUGAACUUUGUGUUCAUGACUCUUCACCUCUGUCUUUUCACAGGCAGAAGAUGACCUGCUGGACCGUGCUUCUCUUCUUUCUGGCUUUUUUAAUCUGUGAUUACAGCUUGGUAAGAUGUCAAUUAAACAGCACUGAAGCAGCUGAACAACCUGAAAAGCCAGCUGAGAGUUCACAGACAGACAGUUGGGAUGCAAAGAGCCCUUAUGGUGUGAUAAUAGUUGGAACCAUCUUACUGGCCAUCUGUGCUUUGUUUUAUGCACCUUUAUUUAAGAGGGAAUGGAGAAAUAAGCUGUUACAGAACUGCGCAGAGCCAGAACCUGUGCCUAAUGAUAGAGGACGUGAUUUUUAUCAGCUGGACGCGUAUGAGCUUCAAGGCUUGGUGCAACAGCCACUAAUCUUACAAUUCCCCGUCUUUCACUUUAAAGUGUCAAUGGAGACCUUUUUUUUUUGUAUUUGUUUUUUGUUAGGUUAUGCCUCACAAUAA
rnacentral:lncRNA from 1 species